UCACUCAGGAAAGACUGGAAGAUUUGGAGAAAAAUUAUAGAGAGUUACAACAGAAAUACUUGACUUCGGCGAAAGAGAGAGAAUCCGCACUUCAUGAAGUAGAAGAAUUACAUGUUCAGUUAAAUGCUCAAAAGCAAGAAUAUGCUAGUCAUGCCCAGUUGAGUGAGUCUCGAUUAGCUGGUAUGGCAACACAGAUUCGUUUGCUACAAGAAGAAGGCCAUUGCAUAAAGAAAGAACACAAAGAAGAACUGGACAAAGCCUUUUACGCUCAGACAGAGAUUUUCAUUUUGCAGAAAUGUGCGCAGUA
rnacentral:misc_RNA from 1 species